rnacentral:rRNA from 1 species
CCUACGGGGGGCUGCAGUGAGGAAUAUUGGUCAAUGGCCGCAAGCCUGAACCAGCCAUGUCGCGUGAAGGUCAGUGCCCCAUGGGCGUUAAACUUCUUUUGUGCGGGAGCAAUAAUGGUCACGUGUGGCCAGACGAGAGUACCGUACGAAUAAGCAUCGGCUAACGCCGUGCCAGCAGCCGCGGUAAUACGGGGGAUGCAAGCGUUAUCCGGAUUUUUUGGGUUUAAAGGGUGCGUAGGCUGUGAGGUAAGUCAGCGGUGAAAUGCCCCCGCUCAACGGGGUGAAGUGCCAUUGAUACUGCCGUGCUGGAAUGCGGAUGCAGUGGGAGGAAUGUGUGGUGUAGCGGUGAAAUGCAUAGAUAUCACACAGAACACCGAUUGCGAAGGCAUCUCACGAAUCCGCGAUUGACGCUGAUGCACGAAAGCGUGGGUAUCAAACAGGAUUAGAUACCCUAGUAGUC